rnacentral:pre_miRNA from 1 species
CUGUGGUGCAUUGUAGUUGCAUUGCAUGUGUCUCUCAGCUGGGUGCAAUGUUCCUGCAGUGCAAGACAG